CAAUGGUUGGCACUGAUCACGGUCAGGCUUCCCGAGAACACAUCGAUAGACUUGACCUGGUUCUGUUAUGUUUGCAAGACUAGGGAAAGUGGAAUUGGCUCUAGGAGCUCCAACCAACAACCUGCGUAUGAAAGGAAUUGCAACGAGUAGCCGAAAUAGGAUUCCCUUGUAUUCUGAAUGGCAGCUGGAUCUUCAUAAACGAGAGGACGGAUCGUAUCGAUGUUGAAACUUGAACCGAAUUGCGUUAGGCAAAAAACGUAAAUUGAACAAAGGAAUAAAAUCUUUUGACGGCUGCCAAGAUUGUAAUCUAGGGUACAGUACCAAAAACAAAUCAGUUCAUUUAACAGUUAAAAUAUAAAAAUAAUUUAUGGCAACUCACGAGACAUGACGGUUCAAGUGGAAACGCGUUCAGAGGCAAGCAGCAACGAAAGUUUAUAGUGCGCUUCACGUCAGAAUCUUGAGAAAUGAGCAAUUGAGGGAUUUCCGUACGAAAGGGCGCUGUUCUACGGGACACCUCCUCACGUUGCGUCACUUUCACAGCUCUGAUUUGUUUUACUCUUGAUAAUGUACAGGAACUUCCCUGUUAUUCUUGGAACCAAUCCAUUUAUUACUGCUUCUAAUUAUUGCCAAGUUACUUCUAUCUCUUAAUCUUAUGCAUCUUAACAUUUUAUCACGUUUAAAAUUAUUAAUGAAUUAGCUAACUAGUCAUCGGUUUCGCCAUGUCAAGCAAUUCAAAAAUUUGAUCAAGAAACAGGAAAUCGGAAGUGGUCUACGGCGGAAGAAUGCGGUUCUAUGCCCAACUCUACACUCGUAGAGUUCGUGUCCCUUCAUCGAAUUCGUCAUUACGGGAAGUGUCAAAAUAACACAAUUGCUUCGCACAUUAGAAUCUCUCACAAUUUCAAAGUUAUGUCUUUCGGAAAACAAUGCCUACAUUACGAGAGUUCAUAAACAUUUGAAAUGUUAA